rnacentral:rRNA from 1 species
GAUGAACGCUGGCGGCGUGCCUAAUACAUGCAAGUCGAGCGAACAGACGAGGAGCUUGCUCCUCUGACGUUAGCGGCGGACGGGUGAGUAACACGUGGAUAACCUACCUAUAAGACUGGGAUAACUUCGGGAAACCGGAGCUAAUACCGGAUAAUAUAUUGAACCGCAUGGUUCAAUAGUGAAAGACGGUUUUGCUGUCACUUAUAGAUGGAUCCGCGCCGCAUUAGCUAGUUGGUAAGGUAACGGCUUACCAAGGCGACGAUGCGUAGCCGACCUGGGAGGGUGAUCGGCCACACUGGAACGGAGACACGGUCCAGACUCCUACGGGAGGCAGCAGUAGGGAAUCUUCCGCAAUGGGCGAAAGCUUGACGGAGCAACGCCGCGUGAGUGAUGAAGGUCUUCGGAUCGUAAACCUCUGUUAUUAGGGAAGAACAUAUGUGUAAGUAACUAUGCACGUCUUGACGGUACCUAAUCAGAAAGCCACGGCUAACUACGUG